GGACCCGCACAAGCGGUGGAGCAUGUGGUUUAAUUCGAUGCAACGCGAAAAACCUUACCUACACUUGACAUACUUGGAAUCUUUUGUAAUGAAAGAGUGCCUUUUGGAGCCAAGAUACAGGUGCUGCAUGGCUGUCGUCAGCUCGUGUCGUGAGAUGUUGGUUAAGUCCCAUAACGAGCGCAACCCUUACCCUUAUUUGCCAGCGAUUCGGUCGGGAACUAUAAGGGGACUGCCGGUGAUAAACCGGAGGAAGGUGAGGACGACGUCAAGUCAUCAUGGCCCUUACGUGUAGGGCUACACACGUGCUACAAUGGCCGGUACAGAGAGCAGCCACUUCGCAAGAAGGAGCG
rnacentral:rRNA from 1 species